rnacentral:tRNA from 1 species
GAAGCAUAGCUCAGUUGGGAGAGCAUCUGCCUUACAAGCAGGGGGUCAUAGGUUCGAGCCCUAUUGUUUCC